GACGAACGCUGGCGGCGUGCUUAACACAUGCAAGUCGAACGGAAAGGCCCUGCUUUUGUGGGGUGCUCGAGUGGCGAACGGGUGAGUAACACGUGAGUAACCUGCCCUUGACUUUGGGAUAACUUCAGGAAACUGGGGCUAAUACCGGAUAGGAGCUCCUGCUGCAUGGUGGGGGUUGGAAAGUUUCGGCGGUUGGGGAUGGACUCGCGGCUUAUCAGCUUGUUGGUGGGGUAGUGGCUUACCAAGGCUUUGACGGGUAGCCGGCCUGAGAGGGUGACCGGCCACAUUGGGACUGAGAUACGGCCCAGACUCCUACGGGAGGCAGCAGUGGGGAAUAUUGCACAAUGGGCGGAGGCCUGAUGCAGCAACGCCGCGUGCGGGAUGACGGCCUUCGGGUCGGAAACCGCUUUCGCCUGUGACGAAGCGUGAGUGACGGUAAUGGGUAAAGAAGCACCGGCUAACUACGU
rnacentral:rRNA from 1 species